rnacentral:rRNA from 1 species
AAGGGUGACUGCGUACCUUUUGUAUAAUGGGUCAGCGACUUAUAUUUUGUAGCGAGGUUAACCGAAUAGGGGAGCCGAAGGGAAACCGAGUCUUAACUGGGCGUCUAGUUGCAAGGUAUAGACCCGAAACCCGGUGAUCUAGCCAUGGGCAGGUUGAAGGUUGGGUAACACUAACUGGAGGACCGAACCGACUAAUGUUGAAAAAUUAGCGGAUGACUUGUGGCUGGGGGUGAAAGGCCAAUCAAACCGGGAGAUAGCUGGUUCUCCCCGAAAUCUAUUUAGGUAGAGCCUUGAGCGGACACCUUCGGGGGUAGAGCACUGUUUCGGCUAGGGGUCCAUCCCGGAUUACCAACCCGAUGCAAACUACGAAUACCGAAGAGUGAUACUCAGGAGACACACGGCGGGUGCUAACGUCCGUCGUGGAGAGGGAAACAACCCAGACCGCCAGCUAAGGUCCCAAAGUCUAUAUUAAGUGGGAAACGAAGUGGGAAGGCUUAGACAGCUAGGAUGUUGGCUUAGAAGCAGCCAUCAUUUAAAGAAAGCGUAAUAGCUCACUAGUCGAGUCGGCCUGCGCGGAAGAUGUAACGGGGCUCAAAUAUAGCACCGAAGCUGCGGCAUCAGACGAAAGUCUGUUGGGUAGGGGAGCGUUGUGUAAGCGGAUGAAGGUGUGUUGAGAAGCAUGCUGGACGUAUCACAAGUGCGAAUGCUGACAUAAGUAACGAUAAAACGGGUGAAAAACCCGUUCGCCGGAAGACCAAGGGUUCCUGUCCAACGUUAAUCGGGGCAGGGUGAGUCGGCCCCUAAGGCGAGGCUGAAAAGCGUAGUCGAUGGGAAACGGGUUAAUAUUCCCGUACUUGGUAAAGCUGCGAUGUGGGGACGGAGCAGGUUAGGUUAGCGUGCUGUUGGAUAUGCACGUUUAAGUUGGUAGGUGGGGAGUUUAGGCAAAUCCGGACUUCCUUAACACUGAGAGAUGAUGACGAGGCUCUACGGAGCUGAAGUAACCGAUACCACACUUCCAGGAAAAGCCACUAAGCGAAAGGCUUUACUAAACCGUACUGAAAACCGACACAGGUGGUCAGGUAGAGAAUACUCAGGCGCUUGAGAGAACUCGGGUGAAGGAACUAGGCAAAAUAGCACCGUAACUUCGGGAGAAGGUGCGCCGGCGUAGAUUGUAGUCCCUCGCGGGCGAAGGUUGAACCGGUCGAAGAUACCAGCUGGCUGCAACUGUUUAUUAAAAACACAGCACUCUGCAAACACGAAAGUGGACGUAUAGGGUGUGAUGCCUGCCCGGUGCUGGAAGGUUAAUUGAUGGUGUAAUCGAAAGAGAAGCUCCUGAUCGAAGCCCCAGUAAACGGCGGCCGUAACUAUAACGGUCCUAAGGUAGCGAAAUUCCUUGUCGGGUAAGUUCCGACCUGCACGAAUGGCAUAAUGAUGGCCAGGCUGUCUCCACCCGAGACUCAGUGAAAUUGAAAUCGCCGUGAAGAUGCGGUGUACCCGCGGCUAGACGGAAAGACCCCGUGAACCUUUACUAUAGCUUGACACUGAACAUUGAAUUUUGAUGUGUAGGAUAGGUGGGAGACUAUGAAGAUGAUACGCCAGUAUUGUUGGAGUCGUCCUUGAAAUACCACCCUUUAACGUUUGAUGUUCUAACGAAGAUUACGAAACGUGGUCUCGGACAGUGUCUGGUGGGUAGUUUGACUGGGGCGGUCUCCUCCCAAAGAGUAACGGAGGAGCACGAAGGUUUGCUAAUGACGGUCGGACAUCGUCAGGUUAGUGCAAUGGUAUAAGCAAGCUUAACUGCGAGACAGACAAGUCGAGCAGGUACGAAAGUAGGUCAUAGUGAUCCGGUGGUUCUGCAUGGAAGGGCCAUCGCUCAACGGAUAAAAGGUACUCCGGGGAUAACAGGCUGAUACCGCCCAAGAGUUCAUAUCGACGGCGGUGUUUGGCACCUCGAUGUCGGCUCAUCACAUCCUGGGGCUGAAGUAGGUCCCAAGGGUAUGGCUGUUCGCCAUUUAAAGUGGUACGCGAGCUGGGUUUAGAACGUCGUGAGACAGUUCGGUCCCUAUCUGCCGUGGGCGUUGGAGAAUUGAUUGGGGCUGCUCCUAGUACGAGAGGACCGGAGUGGACGCACCACUGGUGUUCCGGUUGUGUCGCCAGACGCAUUGCCGGGUAGCUAAGUGCGGAAGAGAUAAGUGCUGAAAGCAUCUAAGCACGAAACUUGCCAAGAGAUGAGUUCUCCCAGAUUAUAAAUCUGUAAGGGUUGUUUAAGACUAAGACGUAGAUAGGUGCGGUGUGUAAGUGUAGUGAUACAUUGAGCUAACGCAUACUAAUUGCCCGAGAGGCUUAACUAU